ACAAAAAAGAUUCAACACAGGUCAAAACAGAUACAACACAGCUUAUUGUUUUUCGCACCUUUUUUGUAUGUUUUUUUUUUCAGUUUAAU
rnacentral:ribozyme from 12 species